AUUUGAGAGUUUGAUCCUGGCUCAGGACGAACGCUGGCGGCGUGCCUAAUACAUGCAAGUUGAGCGCUGAAGGUUGGUACUUGUACCGACUGGAUGAGCAGCGAACGGGUGAGUAACGCGUGGGGAAUCUGCCUUUGACGGGGGGACAACAUUUGGAAACGAAUGCUAAUACCCGCAUAAAAACUUUAAAACAACAAGUUUAAGUUUGAAGAUGCAAUUGCAUCACUCAAAGAUGAUCCCGCGUGUAUUAGCUAGUUGGUGAGGUAAAAGGCUCACCAAGGCGAUGAUACAUAGCCGACCUGAGAGGUGAUCGGCCACAUUGGGAUGACAGACACGGCCAAACUCCUACGGGAGGCAGCAGUAGGGAAUCUUCGGCAAUGGACGAAAGUCUGACCGAGCAACGCCGCGUGAGUGAAGAAGUUAUUUCGGAUCCGUAAAACUCUGUUGGUAGAGAAGAACGUUGGUGAGAGUGGAAAGCUCAUCAAGUGACGGUAACUACCCGAAAGGGGACGGCCUAACUACGUGCCAGCAGCCGCGAGUAAUACGUAGGUCCCGAGCGUUGUCUCGGAUUUAUUGGGCGUAAAGCGAGCGCAGGUGGUGUUAUUAAGUUGGUGUAAAAGGCAGUGGCUCAACCAUUGUAUGCAUUGGAACUGGUAGACUUGAGUGCAGGAGAGGAGAGUGGAAAUUCAUGUGUAGCGGGUGAAAUGCGUAGAUAUAUGGAGGAACACCGGUGGCGAAAGCGGCUCUCUGGCCUGUUAACUGACACUGAGGCUCGAAAGCGUGGGAGCAAACAGGAUUAGAUACCCUGGUAGUCCACGCGUAAACGAUGAGUGCUAGAUGUAGGGGAGCUAUAAGUUCUCUGUAUCGCAGCUAACGCAAAAAGCACUCGCCUGGGGAAGUACGACCGCAAGGUUGAAACUCAAAGGAAUUGACGGGGCCCGCACAAGCGGUGGAAGCCAUGUGGUUUAAUUCGAAGCAACGCGAAGAACCUUACCAGGUCUUGACAUACUCGUCUAUUCCUAGAGAUAGGAAGUUCCUUCGGGACAACGGGAUACAGGUGGUGCAUGGCUUGUCGUCAGCUCGUGUCGUGAGAUGUUGGGUUAAGUCCCGCAACGAGCGCAACCCUAAUUGUUAGUUGCCAUCAUUAAGUUGGGCACUCUAACGAGACUGCGGUGAUAAACCGGAGAAGGUGGGGAUGACGUCAAAUCAUCAUGCCCCUUAUAGACCUGGGCUACCACAAGUGCUACAAUGGUGGUAACAACGAGUUGCGAAGACGUGAAUGAUUAGCUAAUCUCUUAAAACCAUUCUCAGUUCGGAUUGUAGGCUGCAACUCGCCUACAUGAAGUCGGAAAUCGCUAGUAAUCGCGGAUCAGCACGCCGCCGGUGAUACGUCCCCGGGCCCUGUACACAACGCCCGUCACACCACGAGAGUUUGUAACACCGAAGUCCGGUGAGGUAAUCCUUUUGGAGCCACCGCCUAAGGUGGGACAGAUGAUUGGGUGAAUCCAUAACAAGGUAGCCGUAUCGGAAGGUGCGGCUGGAUCACCUCUU
rnacentral:rRNA from 1 species